GACGAACGCUGGCGGCGUGCCUAACACAUGCAAGUCGAACGGAGGUACUUUUGAAGCUUGCGAUAAAGUAUCUUAGUGGCGGACGGGUGAGUAACGCGUGGGUAAUCUGCCCAUAAGUGGGGAACAACAGUUGGAAACGACUGCUAAUACCGCAUAAUCUGCCUUAGGGUAGGAAAGGUGGCCUCUUAACAAUGCUGCCGCUUAUGGAUGAGCCCGCGUCUGAUUAGCUAGUUGGUGGGGUAAAGGCCUACCAAGGCGACGAUCAGUAGCCGGCCUGAGAGGGUGAACGGCCACACUGGGACUGAGACACGGCCCAGACUCCUACGGGAGGCAGCAGUGGGGAAUAUUGCGCAAUGGGGGAAACCCUGACGCAGCGACGCCGCGUGAGCGAAGAAGGCCUUAGGGUUGUAAAGCUCUGUUUUAGGGGACGAAUGUCGUGGGGAGUAAUAUGACCUACGAAUGACGGUACCCUAAGAGGAAGCCCCGGCUAACUACGUGCCAGCAGCCGCGGUAAACUGU
rnacentral:rRNA from 1 species